rnacentral:rRNA from 1 species
AGAGUUUGAUCAUGGCUCAGGACGAACGCUGGCGGCGUGCUUAACACAUGCAAGUCGAACGAUGAACCACUUCGGUGGGGAUUAGUGGCGAACGGGUGAGUAACACGUGGGCAAUCUGCCCUGCACUCUGGGACAAGCCCUGGAAACGGGGUCUAAUACCGGAUACUGACCCGCUUGGGCAUCCAAGCGGUUCGAAAGCUCCGGCGGUGCAGGAUGAGCCCGCGGCCUAUCAGCUAGUUGGUGAGGUAAUGGCUCACCAAGGCGACGACGGGUAGCCGGCCUGAGAGGGCGACCGGCCACACUGGGACUGAGACACGGCCCAGACUCCUACGGGAGGCAGCAGUGGGGAAUAUUGCACAAUGGGCGAAAGCCUGAUGCAGCGACGCCGCGUGAGGGAUGACGGCCUUCGGGUUGUAAACCUCUUUCAGCAGGGAAGAAGCGAAAGUGACGGUACCUGCAGAAGAAGCGCCGGCUAACUACGUGCCAGCAGCCGCGGUAAUACGUAGGGCGCGAGCGUUGUCCGGAAUUGUUGGGCGUAAAGAGCUCGUAGGCGGCUUGUCACGUCGGUUGUGAAAGCCCGGGGCUUAACUCCGGGUCUGCAGUCGAUACGGGCAGGCUAGAGUUCGGUAGGGGAGAUCGGAAUUCCUGGUGUAGCGGUGAAAUGCGCAGAUAUCAGGAGGAACACAGGUGGCGAAGGCGGAUCUCUGGGCCGAUACUGACGCUGAGGAGCGAAAGCGUGGGGAGCGAACAGGAUUAGAUACCCUGGUAGUCCACGCCGUAAACGGUGGGCACUAGGUGUGGGCGACAUUCCACGUCGUCCGUGCCGCAGCUAACGCAUUAAGUGCCCCGCCUGGGGAGUACGGCCGCAAGGCUAAAACUCAAAGGAAUUGACGG